GUGGGGAAUAUUGGACAAUGGGCGAAAGCCUGAUCCAGCCAUGCCGCGUGUGUGAAGAAGGUCUUCGGAUUGUAAAGCACUUUAAGUUGGGAGGAAGGGCAGUAAGUUAAUACCUUGCUGUUUUGACGUUACCGACAGAAUAAGCACCGGCUAACUUCGUGCCAGCAGCCGCGGUAAUACGAAGGGUGCAAGCGUUAAUCGGAAUUACUGGGCGUAAAGCGCGCGUAGGUGGUUUUGUAAGUUGGAGGUGAAAUCCCCGGGCUCAACCUAGGAACUGCCUCCAAAACUGCAUGACUAGAGUACGGUAGAGGGUAGUGGAAUUUCCUGUGUAGCGGUGAAAUGCGUAGAUAUAGGAAGGAACACCAGUGGCGAAGGCGACUACCUGGACUGAUACUGACACUGAGGUGCGAAAGCGUGGGGAGCAAACAGGAUUAGAAACCCCGGUAGUCC
rnacentral:rRNA from 1 species